rnacentral:rRNA from 1 species
GAUGAACGCUGGCGGCGUGCUUAACACAUGCAAGUCGAACGAGAAAUGGAGACGGAAACCUUCGUGCGGAAGGCUUCAUUUCGAGUGGCGGACGGGUGAGUACCGCGUGGGUAACCUGCCUCAUACAGGGGGAUAACAGUUGGAAACGACUGUUAAUACCGCAUAAGACCACAGCACCGCAUGGUGCGGGGGUAAAAACUCCGGUGGUAUGAGAUGGACCCGCGUUCGAUUAGCCAGUUGGCGGGGUAACGGCCCACCAAAGCGACGAUCGAUAGCCGAGCUGACAGAAGGACCCGCCACAGUGGGACUGAGACACGGCCCAAACUCCUACGGGAGGCAGCAGUGGGGAAUAUUGCACAAUGGGGGAAGCCCUGAUGCAGCGACGCCGCGUAAGUGAAGAAGUACUUCGGUAUGUAAAGCUCUAUCAGCAGGGAAGAAAAUGACGGUACCUGAGUAAGAAGCCCCGGCUAACUACGUG